rnacentral:rRNA from 1 species
GACGAACGCUGGCGGCGUGCUUAACACAUGCAAGUCGAACGGAAAGGCCCUGCUUUUGUGGGGUGCUCGAGUGGCGAACGGGUGAGUAACACGUGAGUAACCUGCCCUUGACUUUGGGAUAACUUCAGGAAACUGGGGCUAAUACCGGAUAGGAGCUCCUGCUGCAUGGUGGGGGUUGGAAAGUUUCGGCGGUUGGGGAUGGACUCGCGGUUUAUCAGCUUGUUGGUGGGGUAGUGGCUUACCAAGGCUUUGACGGGUAGCCGGCCUGAGAGGGUGACCGGCCACAUUGGGACUGGGAUACGGCCCAGACUCCUCCGGGAGGCAGCAGGGGGGAAUAUUGCACAAUGGGCGGAAGCCUGAUGCAGCAACGCCGCGUGCGGGAUGACGGCCUUCGGGUUGUAAACCGCUUUCGCCUGUGACGAAGCGUGAGUGACGGUAAUGGGUAAAGAAGCACCGGCUAACUACGUG